AUGGGAUUUAUUAAAUUCCCUAAGUGGGCAAUUAAGCUUAUAAAUACUCAAUUAGCUAACAUUUUCUGGGAUGACUAUGAUGGCCAUCACAAAUAUCACUUAGCUGCCUGGGGGUCCCUUACCAUCAAGAAGGAAUUUGGGGGCUUUGGCAUUACUGAUGUAUGGGAUAUGAAUCUGUGUCUAUUAGCCUCCUGGGUGAAUAGAUAUUACAAAUCUAAAGGUAAGAUUUGGAAAAAUAUUGUUGAGUCCAAAUAUAGCCUCCAGAGUAAUAAUAUCUUUUCUUGUUCUACCUCCGGUGUCUCACCUUUCUGUAAGGGUGUGCUCUGGGCAGCUCAAGUUGCAAAGGUUGGCUUCUCCUAG
rnacentral:rRNA from 1 species